GCCAGUGUGGUGUAGUGGUUUGACUGUUGGACUAUGUCUCUGGAGACCAGGGUUCAAAUCCCGGUUUGGCC
rnacentral:tRNA from 1 species